GAUGAAGCGAGGAGGUGAAUAUGAUGAGGUCUACCGCAAAAUCGUUCUACCAGCGCUACUUUUCUGCGACGCAGGAAGCGUCCUGGCUGGCCCGCCUGAUGGCAGGACGACAGCAGGAAAUUCUGGGUGAACUGAUGCAGUGGGGAGUGACGUCAAAGACCUCUGAUCAUUGACUUGCAGACAUCAUGUGUGACUGAGUAUUGGUGUUAUACUCGUCGUUUUUC
rnacentral:sRNA from 1 species